AGUGACUCCUGUCUUUAAGAAUCUUGAAAAUAUUUUACUUUUGGUUCUAGGCCUUUAAAAACAAAAGGUUUGCAAGAGUUGAUGGGCCUUGUUCUUCGCAUUAACUGGGCUGGGCUUCAGGGUCAGACCUAGGUAAGAGAAUAGACCCGACGACAUCGUCCCAAAAACUUUGCCGCCCUAUAUAACAGUAACAGUAUCUGCCGCUCCGUCCGCAGCUAGCUGCUCGUAGUGCUACUCUGCGCACCGCGGCGGGGGUGGUUGAGCAUCACCCUCAAGCUCUUCGCCAUUACCCAGUUAAUUUCCCCGUCUUCCAUUUUGAUUGUUGAAGAGAGUCUCCGCUGGAGUGUCUGUUGCUACAGCUACCAAGAUUCUAUUUGUCUCCUCCUGCACAGUUAAUCGCCCCGUUUUCCACCUCGAAAGCCAUUUACUGCAUUCAGAUUUGAUUCCCGCAUCAAUUGUUCACAAACACGUCACUUGAAAGUAUAGGCAUUAUUGUUUGGUUCAAUAUGGCCCUCUCACCGUGCUCUAAAGGUUGACGUGAUUACUUGUUCAUUUGAGUGUUUGAAUUGACCAUAUUCUCGAGUUAACUCUGUCAAAAGUAUUGCAUGUUGUGGCUUGUUUAGGAGGAGGUUUAGCCAGAAUCGGCCCGUACGUCUACUGAAUCAGUUUAUGACUGAGGUAUUCAAGUUCUGGACAAGAAGAGAACACGAUAGUGUGAGAUGAAAUUUUAGCACUCUAAGCUCUGGCAACGUCCUUUGACAUGCUCUGAAUUGUGUAAAAUAUGUAAAGAAGGAUAUGUGUACCUAGAGUGACAUGUAGUGCUUAAUGAAAAAAAAAAAGGCCAAUUUUGUGUUGAUAUUUGAAAUAAUCAAUAUAAAUGACACUGCAUUUGCUUA